rnacentral:lncRNA from 1 species
AAGUUGAAUCAGACCAUUGUUCAAGCCAAUCUUGACCUCGAGCUACAAUGGCCUCGAGGUUGGUCAGUGGAACAGUAAAAUAAAUACAAUAAACCUAAGAGAUAAUUCUGAUGAGUAAUCAGCAAAAAAGUAAGAGAGUAUAUUCUUUUGCCAAUGAUUCAUGCUAGUUUCAAAUGAUUGGGGUCCCCUUUAUAUAAUAGGGGAACUCUAAAUCAGGUACAUUUCUAUUUACAGUAAGGAAUCUCAUUGAGACAGCUGUCUAACCGCCUAGUAUGGAUUCGCACUAACUCGUACGAAUUUAUUCUGGAAUUUAUGCCAUGAUCUUGGGGACCAUGGGAGGAAUCUUGCUCUUCUGUAACAAACCCGUAACGGCAUCAUCUCAGGAUUGGUCAUACUCGACUUCGAUGCUCGCCGCAUACUCCGAUCUUCAAGCCUUGUACUCUAUCAUCAGGCUCGGGCUUAACCCAUUGCCCUCGAACUCGACCCAUCUUGAACUCAGGUUUGAAGCGACUCUUCAAGCUCGUGAAAUCAAUAAUACCUCCUGAUUUCGACCGUAUAUAAAGUUUAAUAGAAUAUCCCAAACUAUUAAUCAUGAAAUACCUCUUACACACAGAAAGCAAUAUGAUAUUUAAUUUUACUUCUAAUUGAGUAAUAUUUUGUGAUUCUUCCUUUUUCUCCUUUUUCAUAAUGAAGGUAAAAGGCUACGACGUUGUGAGGUUGAAGUGCUUGAUUCGAACUAAAGCAAAUAGGAAUUAAUUCGAACCUUGAUGUAUAACUCUAAGAUGAUUCUAAUAUCUAGUUAGACCAAAGAUAUCAGGUUCCUAAUUAUGUUUAAAAACAUAUGCAUAAUGGCCAAAUUGACCAAUUAUAUGGUCUAAUCAUACAAAAGAAUUUUCAUAAAUUGGUUCAUUCCCUCUGCUCCACUACUCUCAUUCCCUCCUCACAAAGAUAAUAUAUACAAAUUCCUCCCACCCCACCCUCUCCUUUUUUUUAAGUGUGCUGUAUGUGAAAAUAUUUUUUUUAAUGAGAUAUAGGCAAGAUUAAACAGACAGCUUUGAUAUUUUAGCUUUUAGCCGUCAUAAUAGCAUGCUGCCAUUUUUCAAACUGCCAACAGAACUGAACUCUGUUCUUUUCUCAAAUUAUAAUAAUAAUAUUUUAUAAUGGUUUGUGCAUAGUAGCCUUUAGGAUCAACGAAAUUCCACUGCCCUUCAGUGUCUUUACAAGCCUAAACUGGUCUUAAGAUGUUUAUCCUACUCCAACCUGGUUCGUAUCUGGAUAACAGAUUUAAUUUGUCACAUUCACUGUUCUUGACUUGAUCGGUAUAUAUAGUUGAAUAUAUUUUUUUUUAUUUUUUUUUGAAAAAAUUAUAUUAUAUACAAAUGAUACUCAGCAGUUACUAAUAUAAUAAUCAAAUUAAAAAAAGGCUGGACUUAGUCUUACCAACAAUUGAUAAAAAGUACAUGAGAAAAAGGGUAUCCCAAAUCAUAGGUUAGUCACUCUUCCACCAACAGCAAGCUGUCUUCCAGUUCCCAUCUUCUCUUUUUUGUUUUGCACGUAGAGGAAAGUACAUUGACUGAGAUAUAUACCAAUGAGAAGUUAAUUAUGAAAAUAGAAAAAUAAUAAUACUAUAACAAAACAAAAC